rnacentral:lncRNA from 1 species
UCCCUAAAACCCGUAACCUUUCUUCUCUCUUCUUCUUUCAUUUCAGACUCUCUCUCACUCUCUCUCUUACUCUCGAACUCACGGCAAACACCAAGAACAACCACAAUUCUACACGAACGUCCAAUCUAAGAUCACCAUCGUGAUCUUGAGAACUUCACGAGCACGGGGGUACAAGUUUCAGGUGAGUUCUAUUUCAAAAACCCUAGUUUCAAAUCACCCCGUGGAUUUGCACUGUUCACAAACUUUAAGUUGGCCGUGUUUUAGGUUAAACAAAGCUCACAGUGAGCUUAAGGAGGUCACGAGGAGGCUCGGAGUGCCUCGUUUGAACAAAAUGGACGUCGGGAUCGUUGGGUUCGAGUUUGGCCGAAUUUGAGGAAUUUUGGAAGGUAUGAUCUUGUUGUUUUUAGACCUUAAAAACCUUCCAGCGUGAUAGUAGGUGUUAAAUGCUUCAUUUUGGUAUAAAUUGCGAAGAAAUUGGACGAAAAACGAAGGAGAAUAGUGGUUUUGAAAAAUUACCCAGUUUCCGGCGCCGGCGACGGUCGCCGGAGCUGAAGGUUGAAGGUGACGGAAUAUUCCGUCAAGUUUGACGGAAUAUUCUGACAUCGUUAGUCAGUUUUAACGGAAACCGUUAGUUUUUAACAGAAUAUACUAGGAUUUGACGGAAUAUUCCCUAACUGCCGUUUACUGUGCCGUCAGUGUACACGACACGUGGCCGCGCGUGGGGGCGCGUAGGUCCGUGCCACGUCAGGCGCGUGGGGGCGCGUGAGGACUCCAAAAAUUAUUUUAAAAAUAUGGGGAUGUUCCUGAGGUUAUGUAGGUCACGGUGGUAUAUUCAUAUACCCAAUUUGAGCAAUAUUUGAGGAGUUAUUAGCUAAGAAUUAGGUUAUGCGUUAAAUAACAUUAAUUCGGUUAUUUCUCGUAUAGGCGAGGCUUGUACGAACGUUGGGCAUGACUAAGGGAGGCUCAGGGACCUUCGACACGUCGAUGUAUUCUGUGAGUGGGCAGUUUUGUUUUCCGUAUAUAUAUAUACUUGACGUUUCCCAGAAAUUGAAUUGAAAUGAAAAUAUGUUUAAAAUGAAAUGCAUAUGAGUUAUGUGGAAAAACGGGAAGUGAAAUACCAUGCAUAGAAUUGAUAUGAAAAGUAUAUAGAAAUGUGAGUUGAAAUGCCAUGCAUGAAUUAAUAUAUGAUGCAUAUGUAUGAAUUGGUGCGGUGGACGCACAGGUAAGAAUUGAUUUAUGAUGCAUAUGUAUGAAAUGGUGCGGUGGACGCACAGAUGAGUAUUUAAUUACUGUUAUGAUGAUGAUGAUAUAUAUUGAGCUCAAAUCCUGCACCAUGGUUUAGUGCUUAUAGUAUUCACCGCAUCGCACGCUCGCCUUGGAUCCAAGUAGAUGCUAGUCGUACAGUCCACGCGGAGUGGGUACGACAGACCAGUCGCGAGAGUGUUAGUGAGAUUCCGACUGGUGGGUGACCUUAGAUUAUGUGCACAGAUGAUUUAUGAGAAGCACUAGAGCGUAACUUGCGUGCAGAAGGCCGGACGGGUCACAGAGGUGACUCCGGUAGAGUGAUAAUGAUAGAUUUUGAGCUCUAGGUUCAACCGUACAGGGCUAUUAGAGGGCCUACGGUUGAUUACUUUCUUGCACCUGAUAUGAUUAUGUUGAUGCAUUCAUACCUUAUUACUGUUGAGAUGAUGUGGCAUGGCAUAAUUAAUAUGAGAAAUGUUGAGAUGAUGUGGCAUGGCAUAAUUGUUAUGAAAAUGUUGAGUUAACGACUUGAAGUCUUGAGAAUAUAUAUGUAUAUUUAUAUUUUACAUUUCUGGGAAAGUAUACAGGUUUUACGGAGAGGGGUUACAACGUUUUGAGAAAUGUUUGGAUUUGGAAAAAGAAUUGUUUUACUGACCCACUCAAUUUUGGUUUUGCGCCCCUCCAGGUUCAGGAAUCACAAAGGUGUGGUGACUACGAGGAAUUCGACGGUGUUCUGACAGAUUGGACAAAAUUAGGACUCACCUUCGGGUGUAUCAACUUAUAAAUUGUAUCUUAAAGCUUCCGUACUGUGCAAAUGGUUACGUCACUCUCACGUGACGGCCAGCAUGCCCUCCUUCGGGACGGGGUGUGUCAGUUGGUAUCAGAGCAUGGUUGCAAUCUUGGAUAUUUUGAGAAGUUCUAGUGAAUUCUGUCAGAACUACACCGCCUCGUAGCAAGCCACUUAGUUAGAGGAAUUUAGUUUCCCUAAUAUAGCGGUUUAGGGGAAACUAUUAUUAUGGUGAUUCAGUAUAUUAUCAAAAUGGACAUUUUAAGACGGGUUAUGAGUUGAAUUUGAAUCACCUUAUGAAAUGAUGAACCUGAGGGAGCGAAGUAACGGUUUAACCAUUUGGAAAAGAUGUUUCAGAUUAUGCAAGUCAAAGGAAAUUUCCUUCUGACAAGGGGUCGAGACGACUACCUGGUUUUGGUUAUGAAUUUGUAUCCUGGUGGAAACAGGAGUAUGAUUUGUUGUCACCGGAGGAACAGUCGAUUGAGAAUUGUUUAAGGACUUGUUUAAGGAAAAGUUUAUCCCUCCGGCAUUUAUCGAUGGUAGUAAACAAGAGUUUACAAAUAUGAGACAAGGAAGGUGAUGAUCGAGGGAUAUUAUAGAAAGUUUUCAGACUUGCCUCGUUUCAUCCAGAUAUUGUUGUUAAUUUGGUGGAGGUGUUAUGUUGUUUUAAGCUGGGUGGCAAAAGGGAAGUGGUAUUUUGGGUGACCACUAUCCAUUGUACUUCUUACCAGGAAUAUACGAGAUGCUGUUGAGUCUUGAGGACUUUGAGAACAUGAUCAACGAGAAUAAAGAAGAAUAAGAAAUGAAUGGGAAUUAAAAGAAGACGAUAAAGUUAAUGAUUCAUCUUAUCAAGGAUAUAGAAAGAUUCAGAGCUUCGAAAGAAGUGAAGCUAGAGUUAAUUCUUCCAGCUGAGGUUUUAAUGUAGCUGGUCAGAGUAAAAGUGAUGGAUAUACUGGUAAUCCCAGAUAUUUGAGACAAGGUGUCUCGAGUAAAGGAAAUGUACCUUGUGCAGCAGGUAAAAAAAAAAUUAACACUUUGGGAAGUGUGAAAUUAAUGAAUGUGUUUAUGUGAACAGAGGGGACACAAAAUUGUGAAUCGUCCCUAGAAUCAGUUGUACCCAACAGUUUUCUAUGACAUCGUAGUGUCGAUUCAGCAAGUUUAUGAACUUAGUAGUUUGGUCGGAUUGACCGUGGGUACAGAGAGAUUGAUGAGUUAUAUGUUCAGCCGUACAGACCACGAGAGGUGGAUUUGACUGACACAUGAGAAAUUGGUGAGUUAUAGGCUCGGCCGUACCGACCACGCGGAGUGGAUCUGGCCGACGCAUUAUUGAGAUAAUUGUUGAAUCAGCCGUACAAGUCAUUCUAGUUGACUCCGGCUGAUAUAUAUAUAUUUUAUUAUGAUUGAUAUUACCUUGAGAGUAGUAAAUAAAUGUAGUUGAGACGAGUGUAUGUAUUUUGCAUUGAGUGACAAAAUAGUAAUGUUAUAUCUUUGAGAGUGGUUGCCUACUUAUCGAGACAACGAUGAUUUAUCAGUAUUGCGGGCUGCAGACCGUAAUAUUAAUAACUCAUUCGUGGAUUCGUUAAGCAAGCAAACCGGUAGAUUAUUUUAUGUUAGUAUUGUACUUAUUUGGAAUGCUUAAUAAUAAUAGAAUAUAUAUUGUAUCAGUUAAUUCUGUUCCAUUAGAUUGGUUGGUUAUAAUUGUGACAAGACGAAAUGUUAUGGGAAACCAGUACUUUCCAUCGAUCUGGAUGAACAGAGAUUACUUUUGUAAGUAUGCAAAAUGGAUUGAGUCAGGCUGUUAUUUAUGCUGUGAGAGCAAAGAGAUUGUUUUCGAAAGGCUGUCAAAAAUACUUAGUUCAUGUGGUACUAAAGGAUGUUGCUCGGAGAAGUGUGAAAAAAAUGAAAAAGGGGUUAGACUUUUCUUGAUGUCUUCCCUGAAAGUAUACCUGGAUUGCCUUCAGGCAGAGAUAUGAGGUUCACUAUUGAUUUGUUGCCAGGUAUAAAUUUAUGUUAAAGAUUGGUUCAUGAUGAGUUAAGGGAAUUGGAAAUUCAGUUGAGAGAAUUGGUUGAUAAAAGUUUUAUUCAACCAGUACAACACUCUUGAGGAGCACCAGUUUGUUGGUGAGAAAGAAAUGGAUCUUGAGACUGUUCAUUGAUUAUAGACAAUGGAGUCGGGUAACGAUUGAGAACCGUUAUCCAUGGUGAUGUACUGAUGUUUAUUUAACCAGCUCAGAAGUAAUUGCGAAGAUUCAAAGAUUGAAUUGAGAUCUGGUUACUACCAAUUGAAUAUUAUAAGUGACGUUGAUCAUAAGAUGGUUUUCUGGACUUGUUAUAGUCUUUAUGAAGUUUGGUGAUGCUAUAUGGAUACUCAUGCUGUUUUAUGAAUUAUUGGAUGAAGUAUUCCAAUAAUGCCUUGAUAAAUAGAUAUCAUUUUUCAUUGACGAUAUUCUGGUAUACUCUAAGCCAGAGCAGAGCAGGUAAAUGUAAUAAGUCGAUGAAGCAAAGAUUGAGAGAACGGUGGUUGUAUGCUAAGUUUAGCAAAGGCUAAAGUUAAAUGAAUCAAGUGGCAUUCUGAGAUUGGUUAUAUCUGCUUAAGGUAUUCAAAUGAAUUCUUAAAAGGCAGCAGAAUUGAGAAAUUGGAACAACCACAAGCCAUAAUUGAGAUUCGGAAAUUCUUAACUUAUCAGGCUAUUUUGGAUGGUUGUGAAAGAAUUUUUAGUCAUUGUUUUGUCAUUGAUGAGACUGUUGAGAAAGGAGGUUAUGUAUGAGUGGGAAGGAAAUUGUGAGCAAAGGAUUCAACAACUGAAGUAUUUCCUCACUCAUGCACGUAUUUUAGUAAUCCCAGAGAAUAAUGGUAAUCAUAAAUUUUUAGUGAUGUUUCUUGAAUGGUAUUGGAUGCAUGUUGAUGCAAAUGUUAGGGUGAUUGCAUACGUUUCACGACAAAUGGAAUCUCAUGAGAUGAAUUACCCUACUGGUGAUUUGGAAGUCACGAUUACCAUCCUUGCUGUGAAGUUAUGGAGACAUUAUAUUUUAGUGAGAAUGCAAGAUUUUACAAAUCAAAAGAGUCUUCAAUAUCCAUUACUUGGAAGGAUUUUGAUAUGAGGCAGCGAAAGUGAAUUGUAUUGCUUAAUGAACAUGAUUGUACGAUCAGGGUGAUCGUAAAGUUUGUUCUAGCUCAAGCACUUGGCGAGAAGACUACAGUAAGAUUAAUGUCUGGCACGUUUGCCAAGAUUAUCUUCUUGUGGAUUGGAAACCAACUAAAGUAAAGUUAAGAAUGGAAGAUCGAGAAGAAGUUAUACUUGUUAAGUAACAAGUUAGUACAUUUACUCCAGUGUUGAGUAACAACCUUUCCCAGACAGUGCAACAUUACUAAUUUGUUUUAUGGAAAAGAGAAUUGGAUUACGGAACUGCUAAGUUUCUUAAGUAUGUUGGUUGUGCAGUUUCCGAACGAAGUAACGCCAUAAGGACCAUGAAAUGUGUCACGUGAGUCGGUUUUUGAUGACUUGUGAAUGGAAUGUUUCUGGGUAGAGAAAGAUUCGAUCAAGAAAGAGUUUUAGUAGACCCUGAGACUAUGGAUGAGUCUUCUCAAAGUAUUCAGGUGAUUAAGUUAACCUGAAGUAACCAGGAAUGGCAAAAGAGAUCAACAGAUGGAUAUGCCACUAAUCGAGUGUGUAAGGUAAAUGGUUUGAUAUUUUUGGAAAAUUCACCGCGAACAGAAAUGACGAGAAUUGGAAAAGAGACAAGAUAAGAUUUAGACACAUCAGACCAUUUUUUUUUUUUCACUAAAGGAAUCAAUAAAGUUGCAUACAAGUUUGUGAUGCCUUCAGAAUUGGCUAAGGCACAUAAUGUAUUUUGUGUUCGAUGCGUUGUCACUAAGUGGCAGAGUCGUUACAUGGGACUUUGGUGCAACUAUUGAGAAUUAAGCCGGAUCUGAUUGGUGAGGAACUAAUGUCGACUUUGGAUUGGAAAAAAGAAGGUCCUAAGAAUUAAGACAGAGUAAGUAGUAAAAGCUUUGUGAAGGAAAUCAUUCAGUAGAAAAUUACAUGGGAGACAGAAGAACGGAUGAGAGUUAUGUAUCCGAGACUAUUUUAUGAGUUUUGAUGUUCUGGUUGGUGAUUGGAAUUUCGGGGACGAAAUUCUAUAAGGAGGGGAGAUUGUCACAGCCCGUCCCGGAAUUAUUAAUUCCGAGGACGUGAGAUGACCCAAUGUGACCUUAAACGGGAUUAAGGUGUGUAAAUGUAUGACAUUGUUUUUACUUUAAGAUCCUAAACUAGGGUUAGAUUUAUAUUUGCAUGUGUUUAAUUUGUGCUUGGACUUAGGUAGGGCCUCCUACCCUGAAUUCCCUCCCUAAAACCCGUAACCUUUCUUCUCUCUUCUUCUUUCAUUUCAGACUCUCUCUCACUCUCUCUCUUACUCUCGAACUCACGGCAAACACCAAGAACAACCACAAUUCUACACGAACGUCCAAUCUAAGAUCACCAUCGUGAUCUUGAGAACUUCACGAGCACGGGGGUACAAGUUUCAGGUGAGUUCUAUUUCAAAAACCCUAGUUUCAAAUCACCCCCGUGGAUUUGCACUGUUCACAAACUUUAAGUUGGCCGUGUUUUAGGUUAAACAAAGCUCACAGUGAGCUUAAGGAGGUCACGAGGAGGCUCGGAGUGCCUCGUUUGAACAAAAUGGACGUCGGGAUCGUUGGGUUCGAGUUUGGCCGAAUUUGAGGAAUUUUGGAAGGUAUGAUCUUGUUGUUUUU